rnacentral:rRNA from 1 species
AACGAACGCUGGCGGCAUGCCUAACACAUGCAAGUCGAACGAGACCUUCGGGUCUAGUGGCGCACGGGUGCGUAACGCGUGGGAACCUGCCCUUAGGUUCGGAAUCACUCCCCGAAAGGGGUGCUAAUACCGGUUAAUGUCUUCGGACCAAAGAUUUAUCGCCUUUGGAUGGGCCCGCGUUGGAUUAGCUAGUUGGUAGGGUAAAAGCCUACCAAGGCGACGAUCCUUAGCUGGUCUGAGAGGAUGAUAAGCCACACUGGGACUGAGACACGGCCCAGACUCCUACGGGAGGGAGCAGUGGGGAAUAUUGGACAAUGGGCGAAAGCGUGAUAAAGCAAUGCCGCGUGAGAGAUGAAGGCGUUAGGGUAGUAAAGCUCUUUUACCCGGGAUGAUAAUGACAGUAACGGGAGAAUAAGCACCGGCUAACUACGUG